rnacentral:rRNA from 1 species
AUACGUAGGGAGCGAGCGUUGUCCGGAAUUACUGGGCGUAAAGGGCGCGUAGGCGGCCUGGUAAGUCUGGAGUGAAAGUCCUGCUUUUAAGGUGGGAAUUGCUUUGGAUACUGCUGGGCUUGAGUGCAGGAGAGGUAAGUGGAAUUCCCGGUGUAGCGGUGAAAUGCGUAGAGAUCGGGAGGAACACCAGUGGCGAAGGCGACUUACUGGACUGUAACUGACGCUGAGGCGCGAAAGUGUGGGGAGC